GUUCCUCUCCACCUUCAGAUGCUCCUUCAGGAACUACAUCAAGGAAGACUAGACAAACUACCCGACUCAGAAGAUUGACUAGCAGAAGCUUGGAUUAGCCAUGACCUACUGUCAAUGUCAACCCUACAACUAGUACAGGAUCAGGCCCCCAUAAAGAAAAGUUUCAUAGUUACCUGGGGGUAGUAGUGCGGGAAAAAAAUCCCAAUUGUACACUUGAGUUUGAAAGUUGUCUCGCAAUCUCUGAAGAACCUAAUAUGGGAUGACAUUAUGGGUAAAUUUGACAUCCCUAAAGGAUCAACUGCCAAGAAGAAGGUCAUGUCAAUGGUUGCCACAAGAUGAAGGCAAUUUAAGUCUUCCCUCACCACUAAAUAUGUAAAUGCUGACAAUGAGGGUGAGGAUAAACUUGAUCCUUCUGCUAAGUAUGGUAUGGAUCCAGAAACUUGGGAACAAUUUCUGAAUAGUUAGCAAACCCCUAAUUGGCAGGGAAUACAAAAAGGGUUAUGAUCUGCUAGAAAAAAACUGUUGGACGAGAAAAGGAAGACAAAACUCCUGAGUUUAUGGAAAAUUCAGCUAUAAUCAUCGAUCCUCCAUCUCCAAUUGCAAGACAUAUGAAGUGGAAGAUGGCCCAAACAAAGCAAUAUAGGCAGAUGAUAUCUAUAGAGGCACAA